UUUCCGUAGGUGAACCUGCGGAAGGAUCAUUAAUUAUAUAAGGCCACAGGGGAGGCUUUCCGAAAGGCGCGAGAUUGCUGUGUGAACCCUACCUACCCUUGCUUUUUGCGUACCCAUUGUUUCAUCGGCUGGCUUGCCUGCCAGUAGGACCCACUUAAACCCUUUGUAAUUACAGUAAGCGUCAGAAACAUCGUAAUCGUUACAACUUUCAACAACGGAUCUCUUGGUUCUG
rnacentral:misc_RNA from 1 species